CCAGCCUGGCCUUGAAUGCCUGUUGAUUUUAUUGCUAGUAGGUGGGACAGAGGUUGCCUGCUAAAGGAUGUGACUUUUUUUUUUACAGACAAAUAUGAAGCUGAUCAUUAUUUUUUCAUCUCAUGUAAGCCAAUGUAAUUGAAAAUAUUCUGCAUUUUUAACACUUUUUUUUUUUUUUUUUUUUGCAUUGAAUGUUGAAAAAUAAGUCAGGAACAUGGGAGAACACAUUCAGAUGGGUGCCCUGGCAGAGCUGCCAAGUGACUAUAGCGAUGUGACUUCGUGCUGUUCCAAGGUUGUCAUCCAACUUCUACAGCAAGAAAUCUGAACUACAGAAGUAUAGCUGAAAAGGCCAAAAACGCCAUCUAUGAGAAUGCAAACUUCCAGGGAUCCUCCAAAGAAUUAGCCAGUGACACUGCCAAUCUGAAAGAUGUGCAUUGGAAUGGCCGUCUCCUCAGUAAAAGUAAUAGAACAGCUUUGGGUGGCUUAUGAGCACUUCAGCUAUGCAGGCCAGGUAUUGGUAUUUGAGGAGGGGCAACAUAGAUUUGCUGGUGAACAGUGAAAUGACAAGAUCACUUUCCUGCACAUGAUCUGCAGAUCUGCAGAUCAGUCUAUGAACAUGCUCAGUAUUGAGGGAAGAGUAGGGUGAUAACAGAAACAACCAGCCUGGGUUGGGGACAUGCCACUGACAUUGUCACCAAGUCCAGAGAGGUGCACAGCCGUUGUAUGAACACAGAGACGUGAUUUAUGCUAGAUUGCAUGAGAAUAUGAACACCUUCCAUGUUACAACACAAUUUCAAUGACAAGCUUCCAUUUAUACAUCUACUUCUGCCACAGGCAGAUUAAGUAGCUGGUGUGCCAAGCAGUGACAGAGGCUAUAACCACCGAAAGCAAGCAAGGUAUCCCAGCAAGCCUAUCUUCACCACUUCCAUGGACAUCACUGGAUACAAAGGACACCUUUCAUGGGUCAAAUAGGCAAAUGGGAUGAGGACAAGGAGGGCGCUGAAGAAACUUUGUGUGUUGCACACCACAGAUGUGCUCUGAGGACCACCCACUGCUCAGCGUUCCUUCAGGAUUGUGACUGUGUUUCUAUUCUUUACCUCCAAAAGAAUACACUAAAAACUACAUGACAGACUAAGUUUCAAUAUAAUUUGAAUUAUUAAUUUCAUUUGCAUAUGAAAUAUGCAAGGCUUUAUUACAGAUGUAGGCUCACUGUUUCAGGAACUGUUUUGACAUGUACAGGCUUAUCUGGAGAAUUUGGAGUUGCAGUUCCAAAUGACACUGCUAAAUGGCAUCUGCACUCUGAGCCAUACUGUAGAAGUUGUUGUGCAGCUCUGCAUUUUAAAUCUCAUCCGUCUCAGUGCUGAGAUCCUGCUCUUGCAUUCAUAGCUGGACACAGAGCCUAUAAGCAUGCAGGGUGAUCGGCUGCUGGGCUUUGACCUGUUUAAAAACAAACACAGCAGGAUCUUUUGACGUGUCAGCACUCUGUGGUCCUUUCCAAGGCUCCUGGAGGUAGAUGCAAAGAUGACAAUUCAGGCUUCAUGUGGUAUAGGACACUUCUUACUAAUAUGUGCUCAAUUUCUGAUUUUCUUGCUUUAUUCAUCACAGGUCUUCUAAAAGGGUUUCAAGAUUCAAGUGAGAGAACUCUGAGUAUCGUCCUUACUAUAGACCAAAAUAACUAGGACAGUAUGAAGCCAGCUGUGCCAAAAGGAAGAAGUGUUACCAUGAGACAGAGGGGAAGGAUCUAACAUUGGUGUGUUCAAAUGCAGACUGUGGCAGUGGUGCGAGUGUACUGUGCAUGGUGUUCUCAGCCUGCUCAGUAAGGCAGAUCAGUCUGGCUGUAUCAUCACUGUUAGGUUUCUUCCAGAGGGCCUAAGCACAACACUUCGUGCAAUAUAUAAGAAAACUGCAGAACAUCAAUGCAUGUAAUGUUUUUAAUCCUGUUACUAAUGUAACUUUCCAUUAUUAAUACCUUUUGGAGUAACAAAUCUAGGUGGCUGAGGUCAUCAUCUUCUGUCCAAAC
ensembl:lncRNA